UCCCAUAUAGUGUAGUGGUUUAGCAUACCAGGUUUUCAUCAUCUAGUGAAAUCCCCUGGCGACCCGGGUUCGAACCCCGGUGUGGGAA